rnacentral:tRNA from 1 species
CCACAAAUAAAGUUAAUACUUUUUUUAGAA